UAUAAAAACAUUAUGUCAGAAAUAGAAUGAUAGAAUGGCAGCAGUAGAAAUCAUGAAUGUUGUCCCGUCGGCAAUACUCGAACAAGAGCUAUCAUUGGAAGAUAGUUCUGUCGCAGAACAAAAAGAAUUCGGAGAGGGAGAGUAUGUUGACAUAUCCUUAAGUUUUUAGAAGAUAGUUCUGUCGCAGAACAACUCACAAAUAAUUCGGAGGGGAGAGUAUGUUGGCAUAUCCUUCAGUUUUUAGAAGAUAGUUCUGCUGUCACAGAACAACACGCAAAUAAUUCGGAGGGGACGAGUAUGAUGGCAUAUCCUCAAGUUUUUAGAAGAUAGAUCUGUCACAGAAUAACACACAAAUAAUUCGGAGGGGACGAGUAUGAUGGCAUAUCCUCAAGUUUUUAGAAGAUAGAUCUGUCGCAGAACAACACACGGACAAUUCGGAGAGGAAGAGUAUGUUGGCAUAUCAUUCAGUUUUUAGAAGAUAGAUCUGUCGCAGAACAGAAAGAAUUUGGAGAGGGAGAGUAUGUUGACAUAUCCUUAAGUUUUUAGAAGAUAGUUCUGUCACAGAAUAACACACAAAUAAUUCGGAGAGGAAGAGUAUGUUGGCAUAUAAUCCUUAAGUUUUUAGAAGAUAGAUCUGUCACAGAAUAACACACAAAUAAUUCGGAGGGGACGAGUAUGAUGGCAUAUCCUCAAGUUUUUAGAAGAUAGUUCUGUCACAGAAUAACACACAAAUAAUUCGGGUGGGACGAGUAUGAUGGCAUAUCCUCAAGUUUUUAGAAGAUAGUUCUGCUGUCACAGAACAACACACAAAUAAUUCGGAGGGGACGAGUAUGAUGGCAUAUCCUCAAGUUUUUAGAAGAUAGAUCUGUCGCAGAACAGAAAGAAUUUGGAGAGGGAGAGUAUGUUGACAUAUCCUUAAGUUUUUAGAAGAUAGUUCUGUCACAGAAUAACACACAAAUAAUUCGGAGAGGAAGAGUAUGUUGGCAUAUAAUCCUUAAGUUUUUAGAAG